GGCAGCAUGGUGGCAUAGUGGUUAGCACUGUUGCCUCAAAGCAAGAAGGUCGUGGGUUCGAUUCCGGCCUGGAGCCU